rnacentral:lncRNA from 1 species
CUGAACAGUUUUUUCAUAUUUUCUUUUUGACCAUGAUAAGAAAAUAUACCUAUGUCAUGACCCAGGACCUGUUUCUCCUUGUUCCAGGCAAAGCAGUUUGGCAUUUCCCAUAUCUGGUGUCUUCUUGUGGGUUAUAUGGACACUCAUUGGCUUUUACAUAAAACACUGAGCGUUGAAUGUAGUUCAGCUUGUUACCAUGGGUUACAAAAAUGGAAGCAGAUUCUGUUUAAAAAAAAGAAAAAGCUCUUCUGCUCCCCUUUUAGAAAAAGCACCAUCCCCCUAAACACUUCCAAGCGACUCGUCUCCUCCCUGGCAGGUGACGGGUGCUGAAGAAGGGGCCUGCAGAAGAACUCUCAGAGCAGAUGCUGAGCAGGAUGAACUGACAAGGAGGUGUUUGGUGGGAACGAAUGCCAGUCCCUUCUUUCUGAUCAUGCAGAAUUUCUAAUAAUGCAGAAAUUAAUAACGCAGAAUUCAGCCACAUCAGCUGGAAGCUCACGUGUCAGUUCCUGAGAACAUACAGAACCCCAUUGGUCAGGAGGAAGUUCCCAUCGCAAGGGAGCCGACAUGUCCAGAGGUGACCGGCGCCCUUUCAUGAGGUUCCUAGUUAACAUCCUAUAUGUUACGGAAGGGAGGGGUGCCUUGAGAAGCGUGGGGGACAGGCAGAGAGAUCCACAACAGCGUUGCAGGUGAACU